rnacentral:rRNA from 1 species
UACGUAGGGUGCGAGCGUUGUCCGGAAUUAUUGGGCGUAAAGAGCGUGUAGGCGGCCAGGUAGGUCCGCUGUGAAAACUCGAGGCUCAACCUCGAGAUGUCGGCGGAAACCAUCUGGCUAGAGUCCGGAAGAGGAGAGUGGAAUUCCUGGUGUAGCGGUGAAAUGCGCAGAUAUCAGGAAGAACACCCGUGGCGAAGGCGGCUCUCUGGGACGGUACUGACGCUGAGACGCGAAAGCGUGGGGAGCAAACGGG